GACGAACGCUGGCGGCGUGCUUAACACAUGCAAGUCGAACGAUGAACCCGGAGCUUGCUCCGGUGGAUUAGUGGCGAACGGGUGAGUAACACGUGAGUAACCUGCCCUUGACUCUGGGAUAACUGCGGGAAACUGUAGCUAAUACCGGAUACGACCCUCGGCGGCAUCGCCAGGGGGUGGAAAGAAUUUCGGUCAAGGAUGGACUCGCGGCCUAUCAGCUAGUUGGUGAGGUAACGGCUCACCAAGGCUACGACGGGUAGCCGGCCGGAGAGGGAGAGCGGCGCGAAUGGGACUGAGACACGGCCCAGACUCCUACGGGAGGGAGCAGUGGGGAAUAUUGCACAAUGGGCGCAAGCCUGAUGCAGCAACGCCGCGUGAGGGAUGACGGCCUUCGGGUUGUAAACCUCUUUUGGUAGGGAAGAAGCGAAAGUGACGGUACCUGCAGAAAAAGCACCGGCUAACUACGUGCCAGCAGCCGCGGUAA
rnacentral:rRNA from 1 species